rnacentral:rRNA from 1 species
UGAGGAAUAUUGGUCAAUGGGCGCGAGCCUGAACCAGCCAAGUAGCGUGAAGGAUGACUGCCCUACGGGUUGUAAACUUCUUUUAUAAAGGAAUAAAGUGAGGCACGUGUGCCUUUUUGUAUGUACUUUAUGAAUAAGGAUCGGCUAACUCCGUGCCAGCAGCCGCGGUAAUACGGAGGAUCCGAGCGUUAUCCGGAUUUAUUGGGUUUAAAGGGAGCGUAGAUGGGUUGUUAAGUCAGUUGUGAAAGUUUGCGGCUCAACCGUAAAAUUGCAAUUGAUACUGGCAGUCUUGAGUACAGUUGAGGUAGGCGGAAUUCGUGGUGUAGCGGUGAAAUGCUUAGAUAUCACGAAGAACUCCGAUUGCGAAGGCAGCUUACUAAACUGCCACUGACAUUGAUGCUCGAAAGUGUGGGUAUCAAACAGG